rnacentral:rRNA from 1 species
GACGAACGCUGGCGGCGUGCUUAACACAUGCAAGUCGAACGGAAAGGCCCUGCUUUUGUGGGGUGCUCGAGUGGCGAUCGGGUGAGUAACACGUGUGUAACCUGCCCUUGACUUUGGGAUAACUUCAGGAAACUGGGGCUACUACCGGAUAGGAGCUCCUGCUGCAUGGUGGGGGUUGGAAAGUUUCGGCGGUUGGGGAUGGACUCGCGGCUUAUCAGCUUGUUGGUGGGGUAGUGGCUUACCAAGGCUUUGACGGGUAGCCGGCCUGAGAGGGUGACCGGCCACAUUGGGACUGAGAGACGGCCCAGACUCCUACGGGAGGCAGCGGUGGGGAAUAUGGCACAAUGGGCGGAAGCCUGAUGCAGCAACGCCGCGUGCGGGAUGACGGCCUGCGGGUUGUAAACCGCUUUCGCCUGUGACGAAGCGUGAGUGACGGUAAUGGAUAAAGAAGCACCGGCUAACUACGUG